UGGCGGACGGGUGAGUAACGCGUGGGUAACCUGCCUUGUACUGGGGGACAACAGUUAGAAAUGACUGCUAAUACCGCAUAAGCGCACAGUAUCGCAUGAUACAGUGCGAAAAACUCCGGUGGUACAAGAUGGACCCGCGUCUGAUUAGCUAGUUGGUAAGGUAACGGCUUACCAAGGCGACGAUCAGUAGCCGACCCGAGAGGGUGACCGGCCACAUUGGGACUGAGACACGGCCCAA
rnacentral:rRNA from 1 species